CCUGGAGUUACAAAUCACUAUUUGAAAGGAAGGAGCCCUAGCAAGCUUGUUUGUGCCUUUCAAAGAGCUCCCAUAGAGCUCUGGGUUUGAUGCCUUUUUCGUUUAGGGUGAUUUGGAUUCAUACUUGCCACCUUCCUGACUAGCAGUGCAGCUCCUGGCUGGGGUUUGGUCAUCUGUGGACUGCUGCAGAAAGGAAGGUGCCCCUCUGAUGUGCUCCAGAUCCCCUCCCUUGGCUUCAUCUGAACACAAGAAGGCUCCUCGUGCUGAGAAUCCUUCCAAAAGAAGAGUUUUAAAUUCAGCAUUGUCAUAAGCCAUACCAGGAAGCUAGCUGACCUUCCUCUGCUGGGGAAGGGUAAAGCACCCAGCCACGUCCCUC
ensembl:lncRNA